rnacentral:rRNA from 1 species
CGAGGUCACGGCGAGACGAGCCGUUUAUCAGACGAUAGGUGUUAAGUGAAAGUACAGUGAUGUAUGCAGCCAAGGCAUCCUAACAGACCGAAGAUUUGAACC